AAAACAUUAUCCUCAUUAUUCAGUGUCCUUUGGAGGAGCCAGUGGACUUUGUGGACAGUUGGACUUGAGGUCUAGGGAGAGGAGGUAGAGGAGGAACCGUUAUUCACAGCCUUAUACUCUACCUCGGGGAGAAGGAGGAGGAACCUUUUGAAGAUUGCUUGGAGGACAGCUGGAGUGACAUCAAUAAACAUAUCCUGAAAAUACAUGUUCUCCACAGUGCUGAUGAGGAUCCAGUUGAUGUCUCCAUCCUUGAAGGCCAGGAGAUUUUGGCAGCAUUCAACAGUACUGCAAAAGCCUACUCGCUGCUCCUGGGACUGAUAUAUGCCCUGAACUUGGCAUACCCUCCACUGAUCCCUAUUUAUUCACUGGAUUGGUGAUUCACCGAUGUUAGUCCACAUCUCUGUGAAGCCACCAGCCGCCAUAUUGGU